UGAAACUCAUCUUUUGCUUCUUUGCUGUGUCUGGCUAGCCAGACGAGAGUGUUGAUUUUUAUUUGUUAUUUUUAUUUUUUAAAUUCUUUUCUAUUUGCAGUUAACUGGAAGGUGAUAGCUCUUUCUACCAAAUGUGGAGAUGUUUUUGUGGACUGUGCCUCUGUGUAUGAGGGUGUAUAACAUGGACACUUAGUGCCUUGUUCAUUCACAAAAGAUGCUGCUGUUCAGUGAUCCUCAAAACAGGCUACAUCUCAGAGCACACCCGAGGUUGUGUUUGAACCUAGAUUUGUCUCCUGGCUGAACUGCACGAACACAAACUUGUACACAGGCACGGGUUUUAGGCAAGCCUGAAAGAUCUGGGGGAAGAGCAUAAAUUGGGGCACAGGAGGUGCCACCUGAACAUCAGGAAGCACAUCUUUACUGUGCAGGUGGCUGAGCACUGGCACAGGCUGCUCAGAGGGGCUGUGGAAUCUCCUCCUUGGAGAUUUUAAAAAGCCACCUGGCCGUGGUCUUUGGCAGCCUGCCCAGGUGGCCCUGCUUGGGCAGGGGCUGGACCUGAUGGGCUCCAGAGGUCCCUUCCCACCUCAGCCAUUCUGCGGUUCUGUGUGUUGCGCAGGAGGCCAAGAGGGAAGGAGGCCUUUGGGUACCAAGCGCCAAUAGUUCUGCAUGAACAGAAAAAAAGGCUUCUCAUCUGAGCUCUGGCAGUACCACGGACUGAGGAAAGGGCAGCGUGGCGAUCACAGCCGGUCUGUGGGACAGCUGCACUGCAGAAAGCUGAACCUCUCCGUGGCCCUGCCCGCCCAGCCCGCCGCCAUCUCCCCACAUCCCCCCCCACUUGUUGCACCGGGAGGUGCGCCAUCACCAGGCUGCCUCAAGCGCCCCCGCAGCUCGGAGGCCGCUCUCCGGGCCGUGCCGGGCCCCUGCAGCCCCCGGGGCGGGCGGGCGGGAGGCGGGCAGGGGCGGUGCAGCGGGCGGGGCGGGCCGGGCCGGGCCGGCUGCGGCGGCGGCGAGGGGCCGGGGCUGCCGCCGAGCUGGCGUGGGGCAGAGCCACGCCGCAGCGAGCCGAGCCCGCCUCAGGAACAUCCAGAGAAAAGUGAGGAUCAAAUGGCAACCCUAAGGAAACCAGCCAAAUAA
rnacentral:lncRNA from 1 species